CGGCGUAAAGCGUGGUUAAAGUAUAAAUUAAAUAGGGUCAAAUAGCUUCUAAGCAGUCAAAUACUACCGAAGCCACAAAGCACAUUCACGAAAGUAGCCCUAAUAUCCCUGACCCCACGAAAGCCAUAACACAAACUGGGAUUAGAUACCCCACUAUGUAUGGCCGUUAAAAUUGAUGGUACUUCACUCGAACCAUCCGCCCGGGGACUACGAGCCUCAGCUUGAAACCCAAAGGACCUGGCGGUGCUUUAGAUCCCCCUAGAGGAGCCUGUUCUGUAACUGACAAUCCCCGUUAAACCUCACCACCCCUUGUCAAAUCCGCCUAUAUACCACCGUCGUAAGCUUACCCUACUGAAGGCCAAAAAGUAAGCCCCAAUAGUAAUACUAAAGACGUCAGGUCGAGGUGUAGCGUAUGGAGUGGGAAGAAAUGGGCUACAUUCCCUAAAGAAGGGAACACGGAUGGUAAUUUGAAAAAACUACACUGAAGGAGGAUUUAGUAGUAAGAAAGGAGUAGAGUGCCUUACUGAAAAUGGCCCUAAAGCGCGUACAGACCGCCCGUCACUCUCCCCGAAACAAUUCUUUUAUUCUUAAUAACUUAAAUAAAACAAGGUGAGAUAAGUCGUAACAUGGUAAGUGUACCGGAA
rnacentral:rRNA from 1 species